UUGGCAACCUAAUCUGGGCAAUUGAUCUCCUGGUUUAGCUAACCCAAGACAUUGAUUGCACUCUAUUAAAUAGGCUUGACAACUCUCUUCAGAGGCUUUGGGGUUUCUGCUUGAAUUGACUUUCGAAUCUGCAUGUAACGAAUUUCUUUUGUGUGGAAUUCGUCCCUCACACUCAGUAUCAGUGGUGCAGUGGUGAGAACUUGAUGGCUCUGAGGCUCUAGGAUUAUCAGUUUCUUUUGUUGAUUUGUAGCCAUCUGCAG
rnacentral:misc_RNA from 1 species